rnacentral:rRNA from 1 species
UACGUAGGAUCCGAGCGUUAUCCGGAUUUAUUGGGUUUAAAGGGAGCGUAGGCGGGUUGUUAAGUCAGUUGUGAAAGUUUGCGGCUCAACCGUAAAAUUGCAGUUGAUACUGGCAUCCUUGAGUGCAGUAGAGGUAGGCGGAAUUCGUGGUGUAGCGGUGAAAUGCUUAGAUAUCACGAAGAACUCCGAUUGCGAAGGCAGCCUGCUGGACUGUAACUGACGCUGAUGCUCGAAAGUGUGGGUAUCAAACAGG